rnacentral:rRNA from 1 species
UACGAAAGGUGCAAGCGUUACUCGGAAUUACUGGGCGUAAAGCGUGCGCAGGCGGUUGUGCAAGACAGAUGUGAAAUCCCCGGGCUCAACCUGGGAACUGCAUCCGAGACUGCAUUGCUAGAGUAUGGGAGAGGAAAGCGGAAUUUCUGGUGUAGCAGUGGAAUGCGUAGAUAUCAGAAGGAACAUCAGUGGCGAAGGCGGCUUUCUGGACCAAUACUGACGAUCAGGUGCGAAAGCGUGGGGAGCAAACAGG